rnacentral:rRNA from 1 species
AGGACGAACGCUGGCGGCGUGCUUAACACAUGCAAGUCGAGCGGAAAGGCCCUUCGGGGCACUCGAGCGGCGAACGGGUGAGUAACACGUGAGCAACCUGCCCUUAGCUCCGGGAUAGCUCCGGGAAACCGGAAUUAAUACCGGAUACGACCACGGCCGACAUCUGCUGUGGUGGAAAGGAUUCCGGCUAAGGAUGGGCUCGCGGCCUAUCAGCUAGUUGGUGGAGUAACGGCCCACCAAGGCGACGACGGGUA